AAAAGACAUUCAAACAAUAAUAUGGUAAUUUCAGAGGCUUGCUAUUAAUUUAUAAGUUUCAUGUUCAAGUUCAUGUUUUUCUUUGGUGGAGAUUCUUAUAAAUAUAACAGCAGGACUGUUUCAUUAAUGGACAGAACGUCCAAUAAUGGGCCCUCGAUCCAUUAGUGAUGAAAAAAAAAGACAAUAUUCCCAGAGUCUGGUUCUUUAGGCAUAGCAGACACGGCUCAAUACUUAAUGGAGUUCUGUCUUAUAAAACAUUUUGUGUUUCAAAAUACUGAUGUAUGGAAAACAAGAGAACAAAGAGCAAAGCAGCUAAAAUGUUCUCUUUGCUUAACACUGGCGAUAGAGCUUUUUUACAGUGGGAGGCAAGUGUACGGAAAAAUAAAACGUUUAAAACGUUUUUUUGGAGGUGGAAACAUAAAGCAAACAUUCUCUGCGAUAGUUGUCCCAGACUUCCUCUGUGGAUAUGGUGCGUACCUUGCUGUUUGGUGUGUACUUCUGUGGUGAUGUGCAAUCAUGAGACUCAAUGACAGGAAAACGUCCUUUCCUGAGGACCAAGCUACUGUCGUCUGUCAGCCGGAAAAUGAAGCGUGAUUAUCAUCCAUAUUACCAUAAAAACAUUAUUGUUGUUGUCAGCUGAGAAUUAAUUGAUUGAAAAAGUCCAUUUGCAUAGCCAGCGGUUCAGAACAGAGAUGAUAUGUCACUCUGAGCAUUAUGUGUAUAAAUCCUUGAGGUUUAUUAAUAAGCAGAAUCUCUACAUAGAAUGACCAACAUGACGUAUAUAAUGACAAAUAUUAGGUGUGAUAAAUAUGUUGAGGAAGUGAGUGUGUUUCCAGCUCGGAGCAAUGGCACGUCCAAUCAUGAAACUUACACACAAGAUUUGAGAGGAGACAAUGGAUUGAGUCAAGAGCACUGGUUUCCAUGGCAACGUGAUAGGACGACAUUUGACUUUGGAAACUAAUGUCUGUGAAUCUAAGGAGUGAAAAUAUAUAUAUAAUACAUUGAGGUUUGAAGACCUUGUAUAUGACACUAUAUAAAACAAUAUCUGUACUUUUUUAUAAAAUAAAUAAUAUUUAUGAAAUAUAUAUAAAACAUCUAGAGAUUGUAUUUUGCUUGCUUACUAUACAGGACUGUGAUGAAUGUUAAAAAUAAAUGUUGGAAAGAUGGAAACAUAACUCUUAAACUCUUUUGUCUUAGGACAAUAGGGCUCUAUUACUUUUCAGCUUUACAAAAUAUAGUAUAUAUGAGAUUCGGCAUUCAUAUUCUUGAGUUAACAUUCAGGUGGAAGUGAGCACCACUCCUGGUGCUAUAAAUGUUUCCCGCGGGAUAAGAUGUAGUUUACUAAUCCUAGAAUGGAAAUUGUGUUUAUUUUUUCCAAAUAUAAUUUGAUGUCUUCUUGUGUAAACAGUUAAAAUAAAUAUCCAGGAUCCAAGCCAGGAUCAAAGUGGACGCCAUCAAAAUUGAGUCCCUCUCUGGUAACUUUCCAUGAUAUUUGGAGGAAAGUGUAUUCAUAUCUUUCAUUACAAACCAUCUGGGAGUCUGAUGAGCUGUGUUGAAAAACUGUUUCUCAGACUAUUUUCAAUAGCUUUCAAAAUCCCAGCAAGUAACUGUCCCCAGUUAAGGGAUGAUAAAUUGAACAAUAGUCUAAUUUUACAUAGAUGUUUGGUAAACGGUGAAAUGAAGGACACUUAUUGCAUAUAAUUUUCUGUUUUUAUAUCAUGUUUAUUUUAAUAUUUUUAUUUGUUGAUUUAUAUGGCUGUUUUUUCUAAAUUGUUGCUUCCCUUUUUCCUGUAAAUUAAAUAUUUCCCCUGUCUAAAUGUUCUUUCAAGCGCAAGUCCCAAUUUGUAGGCUAUCUGUUUAUUGAGAGUUUACCAAAAAUAAAUGCGAAGUUCUAAC
ensembl:lncRNA